ensembl:lncRNA
AGAUAGUGGAGUGGACUCUCAGUUUAAUUCAGGAUGAAGAUCCUCCUCGUCUUCACCCUCUACCUGAUCUCAGGUCCAGUGGGCUGCUUUGAUGUGAUUGGCUAUGCAGGAGGCAGUGUAACAAUCUUUUGUCAUCAUGAACAGUAUGGAGGAUCUUAUAAAUAUUUUUGUAAAGACAUAAAAGAGAAGUGUAUCCGUGUAAAAACACAGAACACAUGGAGUCAUAAAGACAGUUUUUCUCUUCUGGACUCUUCUGAAGUUCUUACAGUGAUCUUCAGAGAUCUGAGUUUAGAAGAUGCUGGAUUAUAUCAGUGUGGAGAGGCUGGAAGGUGGAGUCACAUUAUGAACCUGACAGUAAAAACAGGUGAAGAAGAUUAAAUACCUGCAAUUAUGUUUUAAAAUAAAUAUUUUGGUACUAUGUUGUCGUUUAUAAUG